GACGAACGCUGGCGGCGUGCUUAACACAUGCAAGUCGAACGGAAAGGCCCUGCUUUUGUGGGGUGCUCGAGUGGCGAACGGGUGAGUAACACGUGAGUAACCUGCCCUUGACUUUGGGAUAACUUCAGGAAACUGGGGCUAAUACCGGAUAGGAGCUCCUGCUGCAUGGGGGGGGUUGGAAAGUUUCGGCGGUUGGGGAUGGACUCGCGGCUUAUCCGCUUGUUGGUGGGGUAGUGGCUUACCAAGGCUUUGACGGGUAGCCGGCCUGAGAGGGUGACCGGCCACAUUGGGACUGCGAUACGGCGCAGACUCCUACGGUAGGCAGCAGUGGGGAAUAUUGCACAAUGGGCGGACGCCUGAUGCAGCAACGCCGCGUGCGGGAUGACGGCCUUCGGGUUGUAAACCGCUUUCGCCUGUGACGAAGCGUGAUUGACGGUAAUGGGUAAGGAAGCACCGGCUAACUACGUG
rnacentral:rRNA from 1 species